UGUAGUAAACUCAUUUAACUUCAGAAAAAAUAGGAUGUGACAAAUGGUGCAGCAUGUAGAAGAAAAUUCAUUACUUAUACAAUAGUCACUACUUAGUAAGUGAUAGAAGUUGCGAAGUUUAAUCCACAUAUUGACCACCACCAUCUAGACAAUUUGAUUACAUUAACAAUACAUCGCCUAAUUAACACCGCUUUUUUUUUGCUUUCUCCUCAUCAUCCAAACCUCGUUCCCCUUUGCGAUUAGUUAUGUUGAGAGAAAUCUCCAAUUGGUCAUUUUCAUUGACUACAUUAAUGCAUUUUUGGAACACACUUGACAAGUCCAUAGUUGGAUCGUGAACUUAUAUGAUCCCAAAGAAGAGCCAUUUGAUUCACCUUCGUAAUGUACUAGCUCAUCAUCAUAUGGCAAAACAUCAAACCACCUGAAAUGAUUAUAGUCACGAGUAUAGCAAUGGAAUAGCCGUCCUUUGUUUUCACUAUUUUUUUCCACCUCCAUCCACUUCACGAACCCCUCGCCACUUUUUGGGCAUCUUCUCUUUCUCGAAGAUUCUGACAACAAAUGACCCGGCUUUCUACAGCUGUGGCAUAUACAUCUGUUCCUUCCUGCCAUGGAGCAAACUCUAGCGCACAGUGCAAUUCAAGAAGCUCAAAGUCAGAAUUCAAUCUCCAUAAAUAUAGUGCAAGUGCAAUUGAACAUGACAAAAAAAAGUCUUGACCAUACUCUAGAAUAUAAAAUAGCUGAACACAACAUUAUUUUCAAUUGAAAGCGACAUUAUUUUCAAGAUCUCAAGUUCUAAAGAAGAAUCAUUCAAUGAGCCGGCACUUUCCUAUACAAAUUAUUUUCAAUCAAAUCUGUUGUCUUCUGAUUCUAUAAGCAUUGAAAAAAAUACAUACAGAAUAUAUAUCAACAAUUGAAUAAUCCAGAAGUAAGAAGACAAUAUAGAAAUUGGUAGACAAAAUGCAAAUCAUUUCAAGAAAAGUUAAUUAGAGAGACUGUAGCACUUGUUCUUGAUUAAGGCAAAAAAUACAUACAGAAUAUGUAUCAACACUACGACAUACAUUAGCUUAUAGAUGUUUGGUAAUUCCAUAUACCAUGCAAUUGAUCUUGAGAAUUUCAGACGCCGAUGAUUUGGAAAAUUUGAGACCGUAACACUGAUGGUUUGCAGAGAAGGCAGCACCGGAGGUUUGGAAGCUUUCAGACGGCAGCACCGGCGGGGUUUGAUGGUUAUGUUCAGAUAAUGAGAGAGAGACACACCUUCGGUUUGAGAGACAAUAAUGAUAAAUAUGAGUGGUUGG
rnacentral:lncRNA from 1 species